CGGGGUGCAGCAGGCGCGAAACCUCUGCAAUAGGCGAAAGCCUGACAGGGUUACUCUGAGUGAUUCCCGCUAAGGGGAUCUUUUGGCACCUCUAAAAAUGGUGCAGAAUAAGGGGUGGGCAAGCCUGGUGUCAGCCGCCGCGGUAAUACCAGCACCCCGAGUGGUCGGGACGAUUAUUGGGCCUAAAGCAUCCGUAGCCGGCCACGCAAGUCCUCCGUUAAAUCCACCCGCUCAACGGUUGGGCUGCGGAGGAUACUACGUGGCUAGGAGGCGGGAGAGGCAAGCGGUACUCAAUGGGUAGGGGUAAAAUCCUUUGAUCCAUUGAAGACCACCAGUGGCGAAGGCGGCUUGCCAGAACGCGCUCGACGGUGAGGGAUGAAAGCUGGGGGAGCAAACCGGAUUAGAUACCCGGGUAGUCCCAGCUGUAAACGAUGCAGACUCGGUGAUGGGAUGGCCUCGAGCCAUCCCAGUGCCGCAGGGAAGCCGUUAAGUCUGCCGCCUGGGGAGUACGGUCGCAAGACUGAAACUUAAAGGAAUUGGCGGGGGAGC
rnacentral:rRNA from 1 species